CAUGACCUUUUGUAUAAAUGCAGUGGAGGAUCAAAUAAUUUUCCAUUCAAGAAAAAGCCCUCUGUUUCUGCUCUUAUAGGACAUUUCAAUUCAAUACACAAACCAGGGUACUUGCAGAAUCUAUGCUGGAGGCACUUCUGCUGCGAAGAUUUGGAAGUGACACAGCUGUGAGUCAAAUACUAGUUGAGUAAUAAAUAACUGUAAUAGGGAACAGCUCUCAUCAGAUUUUAAAGUGAUGUAGCAAGUCAAUAUUCCACUUCUUAUUUUACAGAUAAUGCAGAGAGUGCAAGCAACUUCCCAUGGUGAUCCACCUCGGCAGCAGCAAAACUGACAGAAGGGAACUGUGGCCUCCUACUGCAGCAGGCUGAGCACGACCCUGUCUUGAAGCUACGCUUCAAUGUCCCUUCAAGGAAGCUGGUCCGUCUCCUCUCCAGAGUGUGACUGCUGCUGCUGCUCUUUGUUGAGUGCAGUAUUUUGGAUUUCAGCCUGUUAACUGGGUAGAUUCCAUCAAGGGUCCAGCUUAUUUUGGAAUAAUCUCCAUGAAGGUACUGCAGCCGCAGAGCUGCCAGACGCUGCAGAGUGUCCUCCGGCCCAGGAAAAUGACCAGCUAUGAGGCUUUCGUGAGCCUACAAACAAAAAGUCCCCCAAACUCAUUAGAAAGCAAAAGCACACUUUAUUCCCAUCUGGGUCCAUGUACAGAUUCCUGUCACAUAUGCUGAUCCCAGUAGGAUAAACAUAAUUCAGGAGGUCAGAGCAGACAUUGUAACAAAUAUGUCAAAGUCUGCAAGUGGUUGAUAUGGGGGGGAGAACACCCCUUUCUUCAAGCCUGAAUGGGACAGAGAUCUUUGAGGGGCUCCUAUCCUGUACAGAAAGUCCUACAAUGAGGACCUUUUAGGUCUGGAACAGAUGGGAGAGACCAGAUUUGGUGCAAUUUGCCUACAGCUCCAUGUGAAGAUUAUAUUCAACAUCAGUGUAAUAUAUAAUAAAUUCAAGAUUCUCAAUCUCAGUUUCAUUACACAAAAGCACCUCCCACCUCUUCCUCCUUCACCUGAUGUCUCCACGAAAUCUAUUAACGGGGCUUUCUGCACAUCCAUCUAAUGUCUGGGUAACACCUACUCUCCUACUGUUACUUCUCUUUGCCAGUUAAAGCUGUGUAGACUGAAAGCCUUGUCAAGAGGGAGUUUGGUACAACUGAGGUUGUAAGCAAGCAGCUACUUCUAAUGAUUCUCAUAAAUCAUUACCCAAAUUUCUCUGCCUUCAAAAAUUAAAGACCAAGUUUAAAAAAAA